UCCCAUAUUAGCUCAGUGAUAGACCAUCUGCCUUGAAUGCAGGAGGUCCCUGGUGCAAUCUCUGACAUCUCCAGGUAGGGCUGGAA